GCAGCAGUGGGGAAUAUUGCACAAUGGGCGCAAGCCUGAUGCAGCCAUGCCGCGUGUGUGAAGAAGGCCUUCGGGUUGUAAAGCACUUUCAGUCAGGAGGAAAGGUUAGUCGUUAAUAGCGGCUAGCUGUGACGUUACUGACAGAAGAAGCACCGGCUAACUCCGUGCCAGCAGCCGCGGUAAUACGGAGGGUGCGAGCGUUAAUCGGAAUUACUGGGCGUAAAGCGUACGCAGGCGGUUUGUUAAGCGAGAUGUGAAAGCCCCGGGCUCAACCUGGGAACUGCAUUUCGAACUGGCAAACUAGAGUGUGAUAGAGGGUGGUAGAAUUUCAGGUGUAGCGGUGAAAUGCGUAGAGAUCUGAAGGAAUACCGAUGGCGAAGGCAGCCACCUGGGUCAACACUGACGCUCAUGUACGAAAGCGUGGGGAGCAAACGGGAUUAGAUACCCCGGUAGUCCACGCCGUAAACGAUGUCUACUAGAAGCUGGAGUCUUCGGACGACUUUUUCAAAGCUAACGCAUUAAGUAGACCGCCUGGGGAGUACGGCCGCAAGGUUAAAACUCAAAUGAAUUGACGGGGGCCCGCACAAGCGGUGGAGCAUGUGGUUUAAUUCGAUGCAACGCGAAGAACCUUACCUACACUUGACAUACAGAGAACUUACCAGAGAUGGUUUGGUGCCUUCGGGAACUCUGAUACAAG
rnacentral:rRNA from 1 species